GAUGAACGCUGACAGAAUGCUUAACACAUGCAAGUCAACUGUGGCGGAUGGGUGAGUAACGCGUAAAGAACUUGCUUCACAGCUAGGGACAACACUUGGAAACGAAUGCUAAUAUCUGAAACUGUGAGAGGGCUUUGCGUCCCAUUAGCAAGUUGGAGAGGUAACGGCUCAUCAAGGCGAUGAUGGCUAGCCGGCCUGGGAGGGUGAUCGGCCACAAGGGGACUGAGACGCAGCCAUUGGGGCGAAGGGAGGAAGGAGGGGAAAAUGUUGGACAAUGGACCAAAGUCUGAUGCAGGAAUUCGGGGUGAAAGAUAAAGUUUUCGGAAGGUAGAGUGCGUUGAGUUUAAAAGCGUUACCAACAGAAGAAGUGACGGCUAAAUACGUGCCAGCAGCCGCGGUAAUUC
rnacentral:rRNA from 1 species